AGGACGAACGCUGGCGGCGUGCUUAAGACAUGCAAGUCGAACGGAUCUGGCCCUUCGGGGCCAGGUUAGUGGCGGACGGGUGAGUAACACGUGAGCAACCUGCCCUCAUGCCCGGGAUAACGCAGCGAAAGUUGUGCUAAUACCGCAUAAGCUCCGAGGAGGAAAGCGGGGGACCGAAAGGCCUCGCGCUGAAGGAGCGGCCGAUGUCCGAUUAGCUAGUUGGUGAGGUAAAGGCUUACCAAGGCGACGAUCGGUAGCUGGUCUGAGAGGAUGAUCAGCCACACUGGGACUGAGACACGGCCCAGACUCCUACGGGCGGC
rnacentral:rRNA from 1 species